rnacentral:misc_RNA from 1 species
UAUCUUUUGUCUCCCACUACAGGUCCCCUGGACUGAUGGAUCAACGUGGCAAGGGUAGACAGCGGAUGACAAGGAUGGAGAGAAGUAACAUAGCUUUGGAGCGGAUUUCCUGAGGUCAACUUACAGUACUGCAAACUGAAAUUUUGUUUUCACCGUCUAAACUUUGAAGGCAUCCAGGACUUAAAUACUUGCUGAAAUUGCUUUUAUUUGUAAAAACUUGCUGGCAUGUCAUAAUAAAGAAUGUCUGUUCAUGCAUGAAA